GAUGAACGCUAGCGGGAGGCUUAACACAUGCAAGUCGAGGGGCAGCAUAGGGUAGCAAUACUCUGAUGGCGACCGGCAAACGGGUGAGUAACGCGUAUGCAACCUACCCUGUACAGGGGGAUAACCCGGAGAAAUUCGGACUAAUAUCCCGUAAUAAUAUCCGGAGGCAUCUUUGGAUAUUUAAAGUUCCGACGGUACGGGAUGGGCAUGCGUAACAUUAACUGGUUGGUAAGGUAACGGCUUACCAAGGCUAUGAUGUUUAGGGGUCCUGAGAGGGUGGUCCCCCACACUGGUACUGAGACACGGACCAGACUCCUACGGGAGGCAGCAGUGAGGAAUAUUGGUCAAUGGGCGCAAGCCUGAACCAGCCAUCCCGCGUGCAGGAAGACGGCCCUAUGGGUUGUAAAACUGCUUUUCCAGGGAGAGAAACUUACGCACGUGUUGCGUGACUGACGGUACCCUGGGAAUAAGCAUCGGCUAACUCCGUG
rnacentral:rRNA from 1 species